GAUGAACGCUGGCGGCGUGCCUAAUACAUGCAAGUCGAGCGAACAGACGAGGAGCUUGCUCCUCUGACGUUAGCGGCGGACGGGUGAGUAACACGUGGAUAACCUACCUAUAAGACUGGGAUAACUUCGGGAAACCGGAGCUAAUACCGGAUAAUAUAUUGAACCGCAUGGUUCAAUAGUGAAAGACGGUUUUGCUGUCACUUAUAGAUGGAUCCGCGCCGCAUUAGCUAGUUGGUAAGGUAACGGCUUACCAAGGCGACGAUGCGUAGCCGACCUGAGAGGGUGAUCAGCCACACUGGAACUGAGACACGGUCCAGACUCCUACGGGAGGCAGCAGUAGGGAAUCUUCCGCAAUGGGCGAAAGCCUGACGGAGCAACGCCGCGUGAGUGAUGAAGGUCUUCGGAUCGUAAAACUCUGUUAUUAGGGAAGAACAAAUGCGUAAGUAACUAUGCACGUCUUGACGGUACCUAAUCAGAAAGCCACGGCUAACUACGUG
rnacentral:rRNA from 1 species